rfam:Schistosoma mansoni, Puerto Rico, WGS project CABG01000000 data, contig: 0141
CUGCCACUGAGGAGUCCCAUAGUAGGACGAAACGGCAGUCAAGCAG